GGGGUAUAGCUCAAUUGGUAGAACGCCUGCUUUGCUAGCAGGAUGUCAGCGGUUCGAGUCCGCUUACCUCC
rnacentral:tRNA from 1 species